AAAUAAUAAAAAAUUCAGAAAAUUCGGAAAAAAUAUACAGAAUCCUUAUUCAAUAAAAACAACAGUUCAACAUGACAGAGAUUUCCUUAAUUUUUAUACUAAGCAUUACUGAUAUAAUUAGAAAAUGUAUGUGUAGCAUUAAUCUAUAACUGAUAUAAUUAGAAAAUAUAUGUGUAACUUUUAUCUAUUGCGACUGGCGCUAUUAGAUAAUGAUAUGCGUUACAGUAAGCAACUUCCACUUCCUUUACCUUUUUGUAUAUAAAAAAUUAAUAUCGAGGCAUCGUUGGUCAGAAAUCGGUUUCUCGAUCGCAACAGAUUUUGGAAUCAAAGUAUGUACAUAUAACAUGUAAUAAUGGCAACGGCGAAGUUCAAAGAGACAUCUCCCUAUGUCAAACCGAAGCCUUCGCCACCAAAGGAUGAUUAUCUGUAUAAGAAUCUUCUUCUUCGUUUUGUGAAUCAGCUGAAACUUCAAAAUACGAUAUUCUUUUCUGGAGCCGCUCUUUCAUUUAUGUAAUUGUACAUAUUAGAUAGACAGCAAAUAACGAACAACAUGCAAACGUUUAUUUUAAUAAUGUUGAAAUAAAUGUAUAUUAAAACAAAAGCGGAGAAGUUCGAUAUUAAACAACAUUUGAUACCAACGAUGUCACAAAAUGGAGAAUUAACUUAAUUAAAAAUAAAGUGAAAAAAAGGACAAAAGGACUAAGAGGACAGCCUGGGCUGAUACGUACUUACCAUGCUGCCACUGUUUCUUAGCAUCCCUCGAAAGCUCGCUGGAGAUCUCUGUCAUCUAAGAAUUCAUCACUGUUUCCAUUGCACACGCUGAUAA